rnacentral:lncRNA from 1 species
UGGUUUGCCUGGAAACCAUUCUUUCUUGGAACCAAACCUAGGUGAGGAGGAGCUUCAAAUGGUAGUUAUAGUACAUCCAGUUAUUUUAGAAUAGAGUUNUCUGCCUGAAGUCCUGCAGAAAGAGACCAAGCUGCCACUUGAAAAGGACAAAGAAGGGCAGAGUUGAGAAAAGCCUAGAUGAGAUACAACAAGAGAAAGUGAUGCUUGCCUGAGAAGAUAC